rnacentral:lncRNA from 1 species
UCGCAAUUUUUUAUUCAGACUCGAAUCUGGCAGGCUAUUCUUGAAAUUAUUUGGACUAUAAUCAUCCCUAAUCAUGUGUUUUUAUUGGAAAACACAUAAUUAUGGGCUAUUACAUCCCAGAACUCUAAUUCCCCCAAUUUUGCAAAAUUAGGGUUCUAAGCUCGAUUUUUCGAUCUGACAUUCAAACCUCUUAAGGAAGAGUCGAAGGCUAUGGGUUGUGGAUUUGGGAUAAGAAGGUCAUGGUGGUCAAAGGGUGUGAAUUUGGGAUCGUUUGGAUGAGUCACGGAUAAACCGCCUUUCUUUGAUCUAAUAUUUGAGAUGUUUGGCUGGGACUUGAGGAGAAAAGUGUUUGGAUUUGGAAAGGGGAAGAGGAAAUGAGGCUAUGUUGUGAAUUUGGGGAGGUUGGAGGUGGUUCCACCCUGUACAGCGGAACAGUCACCGUUUCAAAUGAAUAUUCGACGAGAUCAAGAAAGAUUUGAAAGGAAUGAUGGUCAGAUUCGUGACGAGGAAGAUGAGGAGGUGCUAUGGUGUAUUUCUUGGGAGUCAUCGGAGAAUCGCCGCUGGCGGAGGCGAUUUCCGGCCGACGGCAAACGGUGAGAGACGGCAGAGAAGCGGGGUGUGUGUUAGGGUGUUUUGAGA